GACGCAAUUACGUCAGUACCAGGGAGGAAACGCCCAAGAACCACUGCCCCUUCACCAUGCAGUACAGGUCAGAAUGGAAGCAAGUGGAAUAACACAAUUUACUCUGUUACAUAUGGAAUCUGCAUGAAGUUUGAAGCAAAAAGAUGUUUUUAA